UUUGCACUUUCAAUUCAUAAAAGAAUACUGAAAAUAAACAUAUUGCUGAUAAUAAAAGGAAAAGUUUCUUUGAUACCAAAUCAGCAAAUCAGAAUCAUUCCUGAAGGAUCAUGUGACACUGAAGACUGGAGUAAUUCAGAUUUGCAUCACAGGAAUAAAUUACAUUUAGAAAUACGCAAAAACAGAAAAUUCAUUCUGAAUGGUAGUAUUCUUUUUACAGUAUUGCAAUAUUUUAAGUAUUUGAUCAAAUAAAUGCAGCCUUGGUGAACAUCGGAGGCUUCUUUCAAAAACACUGAAAAAGCUUGCAGACUGCAGACUUCUGAAAACAGUGCAUGCUUUCAUUGAAAAGAGCAGAGAGCUUGUUGGAGGUCAAGGUUUGGCUGGGUAGCAUGUCUGCUAGAUGUCUGCAGAAAAAAGAAAAAAAAUCAGGCUUUUCCUGAAGGCCAUUCUGAAACAUAAGUGUUGUAACGGAGUACAAUUUUCUGAAAGAAUGCUUUCAGAAACAAUACUUUCAGAAGAACAUACGUUUAAACAAAUUCCACCAGCCACGGCUAUGUGUUUUAUCUUUAAUAAGUCAUAUUUCUACACACAAACAGGAAGUACAUGAUGACAGAAUUGUCACUGUAACAGCAAAAGUUUAGUCUUGAGAAAACUAAUGAAUCACCGUUAACAAGCUGAAUACGGCACCAGAUUUUUGGUGCAGGAAAACAUUUGCUAGAAACAUUUUCUUAUGAAGCUGUGUUGCUUCAGAAUGUGAUUAGUGAACUUGCUCCUUUUUUUAUAAUAAAAUCAUGAAAUAAAAAUAAUCCUUUGACUGUCUUGUCAUUACUGUUCUUUUCUGUUGACUAAUUUUGAGACAAUAGUGUUGUUGACGACAACCAAAAAAGAAAAGUCUCUCUCUCUCUCUCUCUCUCUCUCUCUCUCUCUCUCUGUGUGUGUGUGUGUGUGAUUUAUAAUUUAAUUAUAAUAUAACAUUUAUUUUAUUUUUGACUAAUGGGCACCACUUAAACAUUCACAAUAGGACCAGGAGCAUGUAUGAAAAUAAAUUUAAAUGUUAAAAUUAUUGCGAAGGAAUCUAAUUUAUUCUGCAAAUAUGCUUUUCAUAUUUCAUUAAAAUGAAAGAAUGACUAAUCAUGACAUUAAACUCAAAAUAAGACAUCGUAUCCUUCACACUCCCUGAUUUUGACCUUUAUUUGCUGUGUUGUACUUCAGUUUUAUCAGCAUGCUUUCUAAAGUAAAAACAAUUAGUCCCACACUGUUGCCUUAAAGUGCUCGGUUAGAGAGAGAAAGAUGAGCUCACACUUAUUUAUGAAACAUCUAUUUCCCUGCAGCUGGCAGCAGCGUCUUAUCUGAUUUGUCUUUGAAAAAUCAAAUGGGGUAUUCUGAGCCUCUAGGCUUCCUGAAGUGUGUGUGUGUGUGGGGGGGGGGUGACUACGUACCAGUUUUCAUUUGAGAUAUCAGAAUCAUUGUAAUUAGGGUAAAUUA
ensembl:lncRNA